AAACCGUUAGAGAUUUUACACAAGUUGAAUGCUGAAGAUGGACGUCUGUUCUCUGUGCUGGAAGUGUAAUGUAAACACUAUUUUCGUUCGUUGGUGCGUCGGGUAACUUCAGCAAAAUAUUGUUUAUAUUAGGUUUGUUCCAGUACCUGGAGAAACUGGAAGUACUCCAGAGAAAAUCGUUCCUGUAAUAAAAUUAAUUAAACUCAGCAUUUCUAUGCAUUUUGUGUCGUCGAAGUCUCUCAGAUUGCUACCCACAAGCUCCAUGUUGCGAUUCAAAAUCGGAAUCACAAUCCUGAACUAAGCACCGUAGGCUGAUUUGUUGGAACCGGAUUUUUUUUAGUAUUUGUGACGGUAUCUUUCGUGUGCAUGAAAUGAAGAAAACCCAAGAAAAUGGAGCAAUUCUCUUCCGGUAUCAAAGUUGGCUUUAAAAAAGAGAUAUUUGCUCAUGCCAUCGUCGAUGUUCUGAUCGGUAACAAGUUUCUAGACCAUGCCAUUGAUGCGCUGGGUAACGCUGUUACGGAAAGAGCAAAAUCGCCACCGCUCAGAUUCUGCGAGUCGGUAUCCAUACAGGCUGG